UACGUAGGGGGCUAGCGUUGUCCGGAAUCAUUGGGCGUAAAGAGCGUGUAGGCGGCUCGGUAAGUCCGCUGUAAAAGUCAAAGGCUCAACCUUUGAAUGUCAGUGGAUACUGCCGGGCUAGAGUCCGGAAGAGGCGAGUGGAACUCCUGGUGUAGCGGUGGAAUGCGCAGAUAUCAGGAGGAACACCGGUGGCGAAGGCGGGUCUCUGGGCAGUAACUGACGCUGAGAAGCGAAAGCGUGGGGAGCGAACAGG
rnacentral:rRNA from 1 species